rnacentral:rRNA from 1 species
GACCGGGAUGGACGCACCGCUGGUGUACCAGUUGUUCCGCCAGGAGCAUCGCUGGGUAGCCAAGUGCGGACGGGAUAAGCGCUGAAAGCAUCUAAGCGCGAAGCCCCCCUCAAGAUGAGAUUUCCCAAUUCGUAAGACCCCUGGAAGACGACCAGGUUGAUAGGCUCGAGGUGGAAGCGCAGCAAUGCGUGCAGCUGACGGGUACUAAUAGGUCGAGGGCUUAUCCUAAG